CAUGCAUGUCUAAGUACAAGCCUCACUAAGGUGAAACCGCGAAUGGCUCAUUAAAUCACACCUAAUCUACUGGAUAGUAAACAGUUACUUGGAUAACUGCGGUAAUUCUGGAGCUAAUACAUGCAUAAAGCCCCAACUCACGAAGGGGCGCUUUUAUUAGAUCAAAACCAAACGGCUUCGGCUGUACUUUUGGUGAUUCUGAAUAACUUUGGGCUGAUCGCAUAGCCUUGCGCUGGCGACAUAUCCUUCGAAGGUGUGCCCUAUCAACUGUCGACUGUGGCAUAGACGCCCACAGUGGUUUUGACGGGUAACGGGGAAUCAGGGUUCGAUUCCGGAGAGGGAGCCUUAAAAACGGCUACCACAUCUAAGGAAGGCAGCAGGCACGCAAAUUACCCAAUGACCGAAGGUCGAGGUAGUGACGAAAAAUAACGAUAGCGGUCUCAUCCGAGGUACGCUAAUUGGAAUGAG
rnacentral:rRNA from 1 species